GGGUUGUGAGGUUAAGCGACUAAGCGUACACGGUGGAUGCCCUGGCAGUCAGAGGCGAUGAAGGACGUGCUAAUCUGCGAUAAGCGUCGGUAAGGUGAUAUGAACCGUUAUAACCGGCGAUUUCCGAAUGGGGAAACCCAGUGUGWUUCGWCACACUAUCAUUAACUGAAUCCAUAGGUUAAUGAGGCGAACCGGGGGAACUGAAACAUCUAAGUACCCCGAGGAAAAGAAAUCAACCGAGAUUCCCCCAGUAGCGGCGAGCGAACGGGGAGSAGCCCAGAGCCUGAAUCAGUGUGUGUGUUAGUGGAAGCGUCUGGAAAGGCGCGCGAUACAGGGUGACAGCCCCGUACACAAAAAUGCACAUGCUGUGAGCUCGAUGAGUAGGGCGGGACACGUGGUAUCCUGUCUGAAUAUGGGGGGACCAUCCUCCAAGGCUAAAUACUCCUGACUGACCGAUAGUGAACCAGUACCGUGAGGGAAAGGCGAAAAGAACCCCGGCGAGGGGAGUGAAAAAGAACCUGAAACCGUGUACGUACAAGCAGUGGGAGCACGCUUAGGCGUGUGACUGCGUACCUUUUGUAUAAUGGGUCAGCGACUUAUAUUCUGUAGCAAGGUUAACCGAAUAGGGGAGCCGAAGGGAAACCGAGUCUUAACUGGGCGUUAAGUUGCAGGGUAUAGACCCGAAACCCGGUGAUCUAGCCAUGGGCAGGUUGAAGGUUGGGUAACACUAACUGGAGGACCGAACCGACUAAUGUUGAAAAAUUAGCGGAUGACUUGUGGCUGGGGGUGAAAGGCCAAUCAAACCGGGAGAUAGCUGGUUCUCCCCGAAAGCUAUUUAGGUAGCGCCUCGUGAAUUCAUCUCCGGGGGUAGAGCACUGUUUCGGCAAGGGGGUCAUCCCGACUUACCAACCCGAUGCAAACUGCGAAUACCGGAGAAUGUUAUCACGGGAGACACACGGCGGGUGCUAACGUCCGUCGUGAAGAGGGAAACAACCCAGACCGCCAGCUAAGGUCCCAAAGUCAUGGUUAAGUGGGAAACGAUGUGGGAAGGCCCAGACAGCCAGGAUGUUGGCUUAGAAGCAGCCAUCAUUUAAAGAAAGCGUAAUAGCUCACUGGUCGAGUCGGCCUGCGCGGAAGAUGUAACGGGGCUAAACCAUGCACCGAAGCUGCGGCAGCGACGCUKAUGCGUUGUUGGGUAGGGGAGCGUUCUGUAAGCCUGYGAAGGUGUGCUGUGAGGCAYGCUGGAGGUAUCAGAAGUGCGAAUGCUGACAUAAGUAACGAUAAAGCGGGUGAAAAGCCCGCUCGCCGGAAGACCAAGGGUUCCUGUCCAACGUUAAUCGGGGCAGGGUGAGUCGACCCCUAAGGCGAGGCCGAAAGGCGUAGUCGAUGGGAAACAGGUUAAUAUUCCUGUACUUGGUGUUACUGCGAAGGGGGGACGGAGAAGGCUAUGUUGGCCGGGCGACGGUUGUCCCGGUUUAAGCGUGUAGGCUGGUUUUCCAGGCAAAUCCGGAAAAUCAAGGCUGAGGCGUGAUGACGAGGCACUACGGUGCUGAAGCAACAAAUGCCCUGCUUCCAGGAAAAGCCUCUAAGCAUCAGGUAACAUCAAAUCGUACCCCAAACCGACACAGGUGGUCAGGUAGAGAAUACCAAGGCGCUUGAGAGAACUCGGGUGAAGGAACUAGGCAAAAUGGUGCCGUAACUUCGGGAGAAGGCACGCUGAUAUGUAGGUGAAGUCCCUCGCGGAUGGAGCUGAAAUCAGUCGAAGAUACCAGCUGGCUGCAACUGUUUAUUAAAAACACAGCACUGUGCAAACACGAAAGUGGACGUAUACGGUGUGACGCCUGCCCGGUGCCGGAAGGUUAAUUGAUGGGGUYAGCGCAAGCGAAGCUCYUGAUCGAAGCCCCGGUAAACGGCGGCCGUAACUAUAACGGUCCUAAGGUAGCGAAAUUCCUUGUCGGGUAAGUUCCGACCUGCACGAAUGGCGUAAUGAUGGCCAGGCUGUCUCCACCCGAGACUCAGUGAAAUUGAACUCGCUGUGAAGAUGCAGUGUACCCGCGGCAAGACGGAAAGACCCCGUGAACCUUUACUAUAGCUUGACACUGAACAUUGAGCCUUGAUGUGUAGGAUAGGUGGGAGGCUUUGAAGUGUGGACGCCAGUCUGCAUGGAGCCGACCUUGAAAUACCACCCUUUAAUGUUUGAUGUUCUAACGUKGACCCGURAUCCGGGUUGCGGACAGUGUCUGGUGGGUAGUUUGACUGGGGCGGUCUCCUCCUAAAGAGUAACGGAGGAGCACGAAGGUUGGCUAAUCCUGGUCGGACAUCAGGAGGUUAGUGCAAUGGCAUAAGCCAGCUUGACUGCGAGCGUGACGGCGCGAGCAGGUGCGAAAGCAGGUCAUAGUGAUCCGGUGGUUCUGAAUGGAAGGGCCAUCGCUCAACGGAUAAAAGGUACUCCGGGGAUAACAGGCUGAUACCGCCCAAGAGUUCAUAUCGACGGCGGUGUUUGGCACCUCGAUGUCGGCUCAUCACAUCCUGGGGCUGAAGUAGGUCCCAAGGGUAUGGCUGUUCGCCAUUUAAAGUGGUACGCGAGCUGGGUUUAGAACGUCGUGAGUUGCCCCGAGAUGAGUUCUCCCUGACUCCUUGAGAGUCCUGAAGGAACGUUGAAGACGACGACGUUGAUAGGCCGGGUGUGUAAGCGCAGCGAUGCGUUGAGCUAACCGGUACUAAUGAACCGUGAGGCUUAACCUUACAACGCCGAAGRUGUU
rnacentral:rRNA from 1 species